rnacentral:lncRNA from 1 species
UAAGCAGAAAUGAAAACGGCGAACAUAAAAUGAGAUGAAUAUAAAAAUUUAUGCAAAAAAAUUUUUGUAAGAAAAAAAAAUCGCGGGUGAAAAAGAAGAGAGCUUUACUGUGAAAGAGAGAGCAUAAUAUUUUGAAAUUUACAAAAUGCUAUAUCGUGUCCAGGGAAAAAGAAAAAAAAAAUCUUAACAAAUUCUUCACCCUUCGCUAUCCAUCACGGACAUUUAUUUUUUUUCACAAUUUAUUUAUUUUUUAAAUCUAUUGCACUGUAAAAUUGUCGAUGUAUCGAGAAUCCAAAAAUCAAAAUCAAGCACCGCAAAAUUAUCGACGAAUCGAAAAUUCAAAAAUCAAAAUCGAUAACCAAAUUUUAAAACACAUAUAAUAACUUUUAAUCUAAAAUUUUUAUUUCUACAUUA